CUCAGGAUGAACGCUGGCGCAUGCCUAANACAUGCAAGUCGAACGGACUUAUUUUGAAGCCUAGCGAUAAAUAAGUUAGUGGCGGACGGGUGAGUAACGCGUGGGUAACCUGCCUCACACUGGGGGAUAACAGUUAGAAAUGACUGCUAAUACCGCAUAAGUGCACAGGACCGCAUGGUCUAGUGUAAAAAACUCCGGUGGUAUACGAUGGACCCGCGUCUGAUUAGCUAGUUGGUGAGGUAACGGCCCACCAAGGCGACGAUCAGUAGCCGGCCUGAGAGGGUGGACGGCCACAUUGGGACUGAGACACGGCCCAAACUCCUACGGGAGGCAGCAGUGGGGAAUAUUGCACAAUGGGGGAAACCCUGAUGCAGCGACGCCGCGUGAGUGAAGAAGUAUUUCGGUAUGUAAAGCUCUAUCAGCAGGGAAGAAAAUGACGGUACCUGACUAAGAAGCCCCGGCUAACUACGUG
rnacentral:rRNA from 1 species